CUAUGGAGAAUUGUCUUUAAAGACAAAAGUAUGUAGAAAAAUUAACCUUGACUUAAUUAAUAUAUGGAUUACAAAUUCUUAGUUCUAUUUAGUUUUCAGAGAUUGUUUUAAUUUCUGAAAUGUAAUUGUUCUUUAAAAACUAGAUAGUAGACAUCAAAAUUAAUCAAAUUUUUUAUAAAUUAUCUUGCAAUAGGAUUAUUCUAAUAAAUUAU
rnacentral:misc_RNA from 1 species